rnacentral:tRNA from 3 species
CUCUCCGUAGUGUAACGGAUAACACGCAAGAUUCCGGUUCUUGAAAUGGGCGUUCGAUUCGUCUCGGGGAGGC